rnacentral:rRNA from 1 species
CCUACGGGACGCACCAGUGGGGAAUUUUGGACAAUGGGCGAAAGCCUGAUCCAGCAAUGCCGCGUGUGUGAUGAAGGCCUUCGGGUUGUAAAGCACUUUUGGCGGGAACGAAAAGGACUGUGCCAAUACCACGGUUCGAUGACGGUACCCGCAGAAUAAGCACCGGCUAACUACGUGCCAGCAGCCGCGGUAAUACGUAGGGUGCAAGCGUUAAUCGGAAUUACUGGGCGUAAAGAGUGCGCAGGCGGUUUUGCAAGACCGAUGUGAAAUCCCCGGGCUUAACCUGGGAACUGCAUUGGUGACUGCAAGGCUAGAGUGUGUCAGAGGGAGGUGGAUUUCCGCAUGUAGCAGUGAAAUGCGUAGAUAUGCGGAGGAACACCGAUGGCGAAGGCAGCCUCCUGGGAUAACACUGACGCUCAUGCACGAAAGCGUGGGGAGCAAACAGGAUUAGAUACCCCUGUAGUC